UUCAGUUUUGCCGCUUUGGCUCUUUGCAACUGCAGAGAUGCCAGAUGCGGACCUUUUUAAAUGCAAAACUGAAAAUGGCAAUGCUGUGCGUUACUUUCAAGAUGGCUGCGGCUGUUGGCAUUCGUUUCGAUGAGAUGAGAGUCGACAGCAACUGACAGUUCUCAGGUGAAAUGGAUCGUCCGGUUUGUAGAAUGGUUUCGAGAUUUGAACAGGCUUUGAUUUUGUUGCAGCCAGCUGGUGAAUGGUGGUGUUAGCUGUUACAUGCAGUCUUCGGUGCUGGUGUGAUGUCAAAUGGAACUGUUGCAUGCAGCGUGUAGUGCCGGUGUGAUGUCAAGGAGAGCUGUUGCAUGCAUCCUGUGGUGUUAACCUGAAAUGUGUUGGCUGUUGUGGAGUUGUUCGUCAUCUGUGUCCAUGCCUGAGUGCAUCAUCCAUAUAGUAUGAUGAUUGAUACAACCUGAUCUUACAAGAUAAGGAAUGAUUCAAUUGAUAACUGCUGGUUUAAAUUGUUUUCUGGCCAAAAAAAACCUAAAUGUUAAUAUCAUGGUUGAGAACAACA